AUUUAGUAGUAGUAACUAGUAUGUAAAUUAUCCUACAAAAGUAUCGUGAACUGGUACUUAGCCUGUGGAAAAUCCACAGAAAUGUUCCAUCGCAGGUUGCGUGGCUAAACUUGACCCAGUUUUCGCCCAAAAGCAUGCAAAAUAUGAUGACUACUAUACAGAUUAUUUUGAAUCUCGGGUUUAGGUCGCGCCUUACAGGAUCCAGGAGAGCCUCUUCAGUUCCUAACGGUACUAUUGUCGAUGAGGGUCCUGCGAAGAGCUCCUAGUGCAUUAAAAACUCAUAUUUGUGCUGUGGGUGAUGUUUAAGGUUUAAGCUCUCGAUUAAGUAAGAUCCGCACUCUUUUUCUGGAAAGAAAGUUGUUUACGUGAUUUACCAUUCGAUGGUCGUUUAUCUAAACUUGUGAUGUCAGAGUUGAGCGGUUAAUAGGACUGGGCGGUUAAUCAAGAAUUAGGAGUUUACUAAGAAUAUCCUAAAAUUUAUUUUCAUCGCUAUGUUUGUUUACUUUGCUCAUUUUCUUAUUAUUACCGUAUAUUAGAAGCGCUAAGUCAUAAAAUCCGACAAAUCGCCGUUUUAGUUUUCACUAUCAAAAGGAGCAUAAAACCUUGCGUUGUCUUAAAUACAUCAUCUUUUGCGCAAGUAGACUUGUUGUCCUAAAAAAUUAAUAAAAGAACUAUGGUUUUACAUAUAACCUCGGACUUUAAGUCGCACUGCAAUUUUUUUUACAUGACGAAUCGGAAUUGGGUUAAGAUUUAUGACAAGUCCUUAAGUGAGAGCUUUUCGUUAAUUUGGUUUUAGUUUUCAUUGAGCUGGGAUUGCCACUAUUGUUUUUGGAUUUUAGCAUUCGUUGGUCGUGUAACAUACACACCAAGACAAAUGGGAUUGACAAUCACAGCCGACAUCUGGCUGGUGUCAAAUCACAAGUUAUUUAAAAAUAGUUCUAUUUGCAUACGCAAUAUUAUUAAAAGCUUGUCCAGCUUUUUUAUGUUUAAAAUUUCCUUAAAUUAAAGAUACUACAAACCUUCACAUGGGAUUCUUGAUUGCACCUACCUACACCUUGUUUUAGAUAAAUAAAAUGGUAAAAUUGCACUGAUUGAGCUGAAUAAAAGGCAUGCAAGUAGAGGAAUUUAAAUUAUCAGUACACAUUUUCAAGUAGGACAGGACUGUAAAACUGCGAAACGAAACGGGAUGUUGGCUAAAGUGCUAAGAAUAGGGUCGGAUCUGGAUUUCUAUCUACCUGAAUUUCUACCUAAUUAAGACGGACGAACGGACGGACGGACGUUUUGCUUAUCUAUUCAAUCUACAACAAAAUUGUACUGGUUCAAUGUUCGUUUGUUUGUUUCUUUUUUUUUUUGUUUUCUUCACGGAGACAUUUGAGGUAAAUUUGUCUGUGAAAGAAAUACAUUUCCAAAACAAAGAUUACAUUUCAUUCAUCAACAUCGCGUAGUAAAAUCAUCUAACCAGAACACAAAUUCCAAAUGGUUAUCACUGACGACAAAAAUUUAAAACUUUUACUUUACAACGGAAAAUAACAGUAUUUUAAGUUUUACGUUAAUUUUAAUCAACCUGAUGAUUUGAUUUGAUUGUAGAUCCUCCCGAACUUGUAACUGGUCCUCCAUCAGAACAAGUUCUCGUUGAAUUUAGCGUUGAAUAAUUGGAAUGUUUUGUGAAUUCCUAUCCACGUGCAAGUAUCGAGUGGUUUUAUGCUGCAGACAGAAAAACAUUUAAAAGCAUUUCCCAUCUAGCUAAGGAAAAACUUUUAGCCACAGCAUUCUACGAAGUAAAUGUUCAAAGUCGAAUUAAUUUCAAUCCAAAAAUUUCAAGAAAUGAUGAAGGAAUCUAUUACUGCAUUGUAAUCAAUCAUUUGGGGAGCUUCACUAAGAAAACCAACGUCACUGUCCAUUGGCCUGCUGAGUUUGACACAGGCACGAUAGAUGGUGGUUCAACAGUCAUUAAAAUAUUACAAUCCGCUAGUUUUAACUGCAUUACAGGAAGCAAGCCAGAACCAACUAUAAAAUGGAUCAAAGAUGAUCUAAAUGAAGUAAAAUGAGACACAGCUUCGAUUUUCAUAAAUACUUUGUUUGUAAACUCAACAACCAUUGUCAAAGAAAGUAUUUUAACAUUUACCAAUGCAACUGCAAGCGAUACGGGCUUGUACACAUGUGUUGUUGAGAACACAGUAGCCAGCGUGAAGGAGACGAGGAGAAGAAAAAAAUAUCUUCAUGUUAUGUAUCCUCCAAUAGUACUGGCUGCUUCUACGAAUCAAACUAUAGAAAUUACAAAUUCACUUACGCUGAGUUGCGCUAGCCAAUCAAAUCCUCCAAUUAACCGCCAUUUAUGGAAAAAACAUGGUACCACUAAACCAAACAAUCAAAGUAAAUACAUAAUUGAAUUUGUGGAUAGAGACACAAAGGGGGUGUACACCUGCACACCUGAAAACGCUGAAGGAGUUGGAAACACAAUCAGACAUAGAAUUGCAGUAAAAAUCACGCCAACCUUCACAUCAAAAGCUUCAUGUCAGGAAAGAGAUGGUAUAUAUCACUGUUAUUGCGCUGGUGUUGGCUAUCCAGCACCUCAAGUCACUUGGGGUAAAAGACCAAACAACGUAUCUUAAACAAUUGGAAAUUCACUUAACUUGACCAUUAGUACAUCAACUGUAGGGAUAUAUAGCUGCAUUUUACAAAAUAGUUAUGGAUCAGUGACUUCAGAUAUUACACUUCUUCCUCCUUACACUGAUUGGACAAGUUGGAGCAACUGCAACGUAACAUGUGGUGGAGGAUCCAGAACUCGUAACAAAAAAUGCAAUUAUAAAGUGUGUAACGGUGAAACUCGUUCGAUUGAAUCAUGCAAUGCUGGCGCAUGUCCAGUAGUUCACCCUUUUAAAGAUAACUGUCACCCUACAAUUAAUAUUAUUGUGUCAGUUCUCGCAACAUUAGUUAUCACAUUGAUUGCAAAUACCGUGUUGUUGGUAAUUUUAAAGCAUAAAGGUUUUGUCACAAUCUACAUAAGACGUAAGAGAAGAACACGAAACAAGGAAACAGAGGAAUAUGAAGUAGCUGAAACAACUUUAUCCCAAUACGCAGAUCUUAAUAUUCAGGCUAUCAAACCAAGCUUAUACACUGACUUGUCAACUAUCAAUAAUCAUUCAAACGAUUAUGCCGAAAUUUAACAAACGAACGCAGAACAGAACCAAUGCUAUUACCAAGGCCUACAUAUAUUUUUCUAUAUUAUAAUACCCGUAUACGUGUCUAAAGCAAAAUGGUAACCCAGUGACACAAGAGAUGCCGUAAAAAAAGAGGAGUGAAUACGUGGAUAUUUACACGGGCCAUCUUGUAUAAUAAUAGCCAAAUGUGAAUAGCUAUGACGUUUUACGUCACAAAAAUCAUGGGUUGUUUCUUUACCGCUCAUGUAUAGUUUCCCAAACAAAACUAAUAUUCACUAAAACAAAAAAUAAAAUUGACACUCUAACUGUUGUUUUUUUUUGGAAAUUUGUGUAAGCUUCUGUAAAAAAAAGCAUUGUAUAUCAUAAAUUAAAAGAUAUAUGUUUUAUUUGUUAUAACUGUAGCAUUUUAGCAUUUUGAUGAAAAUAUUGUCGGAGAGAAUAUGCAGUAUGAAAAGAAUUCCUUCAACAUUUUUUAAAACUUUUGUUAAAAGAACUUUUUUUUGUAUUUAUUUUUUUUACAUGCUGCGAACCUUAGGUUUUGACAUUAAUAAUACGCCACUUUGGUCUGUGCGUGUGUGAACUUUUGCAAAGAGGAUGUUUUUAUGUCUCAAUUGUUAAACGACACAUCAGCUACUUCGUGACGUUGAUAAAUUAGUUUCACUUCAAUAACGUGAUUAUUAUUUGUAAAUCCGUUGAUCUCGGUAACUAAA